UUUUUUUGAUGGGUAAAGGAGGCCUGGAAGGACCACCUGGUUUUUAUUGAUCAAGUAUGUACAAAGAGAGGAGAAGGAAAGCAAAACACAAACAACGAUAGAGAGGAGAGCAAAACUUGAGAGACAAAAACUCUGCUUAGUACCAACAACACUCUUCUCUAUGGCCACAAUGCUAACAGUAGGCUCAAGAAGUGCUAGCAGCAGGACCAAUAACAGCGCACAAUAAGGGCAUACUUUGCACAAGUGGGAUCAGACGCCUCCAGAGGUUUUGGUGUUUGUCUCAAUCCUUAAAGGAACAAAAAUGCUGUCAGUUGAAGAACAGAUGAAGAAUUCUCUGAAGAGUAGCGAAAAUAGAGCUUGGCCUUCUAAGGAAACUAUGCUCGUCAUGUUAGCAAUUCACAACCAUGUAAAAAUUAAAUACUCAA
rnacentral:lncRNA from 1 species